CUUCAACGCGUACGGGUUGUGGGAGCAAUCGCCCGGAGAUGGAUUCUGAGACACGAAUCCAGACCCUACGGGGUGCAGCAGGCGCGAAAACUUCACACUGCAGGAAACUGUGAUGAGGGAAUUCCAAGUGGCCAGACAAAGUCUGGUCUUUUACCAACUUUUAAUCGGUUGGUGAAUAAGGGGUGGGAAAGACCGGUGCCAGCCGCCGCGGUAAUACCGGCACCUCAAGUGGUCGUCGCUUUUAUUGGGCCUAAAACGUCCGUCGCCUGUUUGGUACAUUCGUGGGUAAAUCAAGCCGCUUAACGGCUUGAAUUCUGCGAGGACGGCCAGACUAGGGACCGGGAGAGGUAUGGGGUACUCUCAGGGUAGGGGUAAAAUCCAGUCAUCCUGAGGGGACCACCUGUUGCGAAGGCGCCAUACUAGAACGG
rnacentral:rRNA from 1 species